rnacentral:rRNA from 1 species
GACGAACGCUGGCGGCGUGCUUAACACAUGCAAGUCGAACGGAAAGGCCCUGCUUUUGUGGGGUGCUCGAGUGGCGAACGGGUGAGUAACACGUGAGUAACCUGCCCUUGACUUUGGGAUAACUUCAGGAAACUGGGGCUAAUACCGGAUAGGAGCUCCUGCUGCAUGGUGGGGGUUGGGAAGGUUCGGCGGUUGGGGAUGGACUCGCGGCUUAUCAGCUUGUUGGUGGGGUAGUGGCUUACCAAGGCUUUGACGGGUAGCCGGCCUGAGAGGGUGACCGGCCACAUUGGGACUGAGAUACGGCCCAGACUCCUACGGGAGGCAGCAGUGGGGAAUAUUGCACAAUGGGCGGAAGCCUGAUGCAGCAACGCCGCGUGCGGGAUGACGGCCUUCGGGUUGUAAACCGCUUUCGCCUGUGACGAAGCGUGAGUGACGGUAAUGGGUAAAGAAGCACCGGCUAACUACGUG